CGUAGUACAGUGCGUUAAACUGUAC
rfam:Chinese wheat mosaic virus segment RNA1, complete sequence